AUUGAACGCUGGCGGAAUGCUUUACACAUGCAAGUCGAACGGCAGCACGGACUUCGGUCUGGUGGCGAGUGGCGAACGGGUGAGUAAUACAUCGGAACGUGCCCAGUCGUGGGGGAUAACGUAGCGAAAGCUACGCUAAUACCGCAUACGAUCUACGGAUGAAAGCGGGGGAUCGCAAGACCUCGCGCGAUCGGAGCGGCCGAUGGCAGAUUAGGUAGUUGGUAGGGUAAAGGCCUACCGAGCCGACGAUCUGUAGCUGGUCUGAGAGGAUGAUCAGCCACACUGGGACUGAGACACGGCCCAGACUCCUACGGGAGGCAGCAGUGGGGAAUUUUGGACAAUGGACGCAAGUCUGAUCCAGCCAUUCCGCGUGCAGGAUGAAGGCCCUCGGGUUGUAAACUGCUUUUGUACGGAACGAAAAGGCUCUGGUUAAUACCUGGGGCUCAUGACGGUACUGUAAGAAUAAGCACCGGCUAACUACGUGCCAGCCGCCGCCGUAA
rnacentral:rRNA from 1 species